CUGGAAGGGGGGUGGGGAUGACGUCAAGUCAUCAUGGCCCUUACGGCCUGGGCUACACACGUGCUACAAUGGUCGGUACAGAGGGUUGCCAAGCCGCGAGGUGGAGCUAAUCUCACAAAACCGAUCGUAGUCCGGAUCGCAGUCUGCAACUCGACUGCGUGAAGUCGGAAUCGCUAGUAAUCGCAAAUCAGAAUGUUGCGGUGAAUACGUUCCCGGGCCUUGUACCACACCGCCCGUCACACCAUGGGAGUGGGUUGCACCAGAAGUAGCU
rnacentral:rRNA from 1 species